UUGCUGUGAUGACUUAUCUUAGGACACCUUUGGAACAUCCAUGAAAAAACCCAGUUAUUUCUGAGCAAC
rnacentral:snoRNA from 1 species